UACGUAGGGCGCAAGCGUUGUCCGGAAUUAUUGGGCGUAAAGAGCUCGUAGGCGGCUUGUCACGUCGGGUGUGAAAGCCCGGGGCUUAACCCCGGGUCUGCAUUCGAUACGGGCUAGCUAGAGUGUGGUAGGGGAGAUCGGAAUUCCUGGUGUAGCGGUGAAAUGCGCAGAUAUCAGGAGGAGCACCGGUGGCGAAGGCGGAUCUCUGGGCCAUUACUGACGCUGAGGAGCGAAAGCGUGGGGAGCGAACAGG
rnacentral:rRNA from 1 species